rnacentral:sRNA from 1 species
GUUAAAUUUGACAACAAAAAACGCUAACAAGCUUCUUCUUGAUUCUCAAAGCUUUGAUGUUGUGGCCGAAGUUCUUUUGAGUUUUUGGUUUUGAAUCGUAUAAUAGGGAAACACUUGUUUAUCUUUCAGGAUAAGUUUUAAUACUC